AGUGGAAGGGGGUUACUAGAAUACUGUUCAAACCCGCGGUUGGUUUGAAUCACACAAAAUCAGCCAACCGAAUCGUAAUCAGACGCUUCAUCACCAGUGCGUGUAAUCUGCAGCGAUGAAUCAGCUCUCACCAGAAUAAGGAGUUCCGCUGUCUCGGUUGUGUGCGACAUUCCAGAUCCAGGAAAAUCCCAGGCCGAGCACCUGGCGUUUGGUAAAACCGAGCCGAUAUUUGGCGGAAGGGAUGGGCCAUCCCUGCCUGCGAUCCACAAGCCGCCCCACGGGUUUUAUGUUAGGAAAAAUUCCGGAACUACUGUGUCUCCACUAGCGUUA